rnacentral:ncRNA from 1 species
AAUCUGUUUACUACUAGUUGCUAAGAGAAUUCUCAGAUCUAAGAAGAAUUCCUUACAUAAUAUCCAAGAUAUUUACGAGUUGAAUUCUAGAGCAUUCUUGGCAUUUCCAGGGUUUUCAUGAGUCUUCUAGAGGUUCUUGGCUGCAACUUUGGGCAGAAUUAGCCCCUUUCUAGAUUGUUCCGAGCAACUUUAAAGGCUGAAUCCAGGACCUUUCUAAGGGUGCCAACACGUUCCAGUAUUGUCAGGUUGUUCCGGAGACUUCUGGGCAACCCUAGACGCUUCCUUAGUUUCCGGAAACUUCCUGAAUGUGAAAUUUUUGAGUUGAAUUUUUGCGGGCGUGACACUACGCUCUGUAUACAAUUAGCAGGGGAUAACAUCAUAGGAUUUCGGUCCUAUUACGUUGGCCCUUGGGAUCGGAGUAUAUGAUUAACAAGGACACGUCGGGGGCCAUCGUAUUUCAAUAGUCAGAGGUGAAAUUCUGUGGAUUUAUGAAAAGACGACAACUGCGAAAGCUUUGCGCAAGGAUGUUUUUUCAUUAAUCAAGAACGAAAGUUGGGGGCUCGAAGACGAUCGAUACCGUCGCUAUUGCUCAACGAUAAACGGAUGCCGAUCCAGGGAUCAGCGGAUGUUGCUUUUAGGACUCCGCUGGCACCUUAAUGAGAAAUCAAAGUUUUGGGUCCGGGGGGGAGUAUGGUCGGCAAGGGCUGAAACUUAAAGGAAUUGACGGAAGGGCACCACCAGGAGUGGAGCUGGCGGCUUAAUUUGACUCAACACGGGGAAACUUACCAGGUCCAGGGCCCAACAUGUAGGAUUGACAGACCUGAGAGCUCUUUCUUGAUUCUAUGAGGUGGUGGUGCAUGGCCGUUCUUUAGUUGUGGAGCGAUUUGUCUGGUUUAAUUCCGUUAACUCGACGAGACCUCAGCCUGCUAACUAGUAUGUGGAGGUACCUCCAUGGCCAGCUUCUAGAGGGUACUAUGGCCUUUUAGCCACGGAAGUUUGAGGCAAUAACAGGUCUGUGAUGCUUUAGAUGUCUGGGCCGCACGCCUGGCUACACUGAUUGUUUCAACGAGUAUAUAGCCUUGGCGACAGGCCCGGGAAAUCUUUGAAAUUUUCAUCGUGAUGGGGAUAGAUAUUGCAAUUGUUGUCUUAAACGAGGAAUUCCUAGUAAGCGCGAGUCAUGAGCUCGCGUUGACUACGUCCCUGCCCUUUGUACAAACCGCCCGUCGCUCCUACCGAUUGAAUGGUCGGUGAAGUGUUAGGAUCGUGGCGACGUGGGCGGUUCGCUGCCCGCGAACGUCGCGAGAAUUCCACUGAACCUUAUCAUUUAGAGGAAGAGAAGUCGUAACAAGGUUCCGUAGGUGAACUGCGGAGGAUCAUUG